rnacentral:rRNA from 1 species
CCUCGGGCGGCAGCAGUGGGGAAUAUUGGACAAUGGGGGGAACCCUGAUCCAGCCAUGCCGCGUGUGUGAAGAAGGCCCUCGGGUUGUAAAGCACUUUCAGUGAGGAAGAACGCCUGGUGGUUAAUACCCAUCAGGAAAGACAUCACUCACAGAAGAAGCACCGGCUAACUCCGUGCCAGCAGCCGCGGUAAUACGGAGGGUGCGAGCGUUAAUCGGAAUUACUGGGCGUAAAGCGCGCGUAGGUGGCUUGAUAAGCCGGUUGUGAAAGCCCCGGGCUCAACCUGGGAACGGCAUCCGGAACUGUCAAGCUAGAGUGCAGGAGAGGAAGGUAGAAUUCCCGGUGUAGCGGUGAAAUGCGUAGAGAUCGGGAGGAAUACCAGUGGCGAAGGCGGCCUUCUGGACUGACACUGACACUGAGGUGCGAAAGCGUGGGUAGCAAACAGGAUUAGAUACCCGGGUAGUC